CAUCUCUCAGCGUCACACCUGGAGAGUUUCCAGUACUCUACCAGUCUUGACUAUUAAAGGGAGAGUCAAGUAGAGUCAUACCCAUUCCAUUCCUAGUUUGGGAAGUGGCUAGCGAGUGUAAGUAAAUCUGCUACAAGU